AAAAAAUAUAAAGUGGCAAAAAAAUUAUUUGACAAUUCAAUAAAAAUAUAGUGAUUAAUUAAACUUAUUUCCAUUUUUUUAAUUAUAAUUUGUUCAUGCUAUAAACGGCAGCCUUAGGGCACAAAAGAGCAAAUUAAAUUACGAUAGUACCCACCUAUAAUUCCACCAAAGUUGGGGCAAAAUUGUAAAUAAAUAUCACACUGUUCUUUAAAAACCUAAAUAUCCGCCAGUCUUUUCUCGCCUUGCAAGAGCUGCAACAAGAACUACGAGCGGCCGCUCUUCCUAUCAGCCCAGGUUCGGUCUCCUUCACUUCCUCUCCUCUGUCGCUCGCUCUCUUAGUAUGCUGCCCAUUUAAUAUUACCCUUUGGCAAUCUUCGCUUGUUGCUUUGAAUUUAUAUCUGGGAUGGAUGCUCAAAUUAAGCAUGCUGUGGUGGUAAAAGUAAUGGGAAGGACUGGAUCAAGGGGUCAGGUGACUCAAGUCAGAGUCAAGUUUUUGGAUGACCAGAAUCGAUUCAUCAUGAGGAACGUGAAGGGACCCGUUAGAGAAGGAGAUGUGCUUACCCUUCUUGAAUCUGAA